GGGCCCGCACAAGCGGUGGAGCAUGUGGUUUAAUUCGAUGAUACGCGAGGAACCUUACCAGGGCUUAAAUGUAGGUUGCAUGAUCUAGAGAUAGAUCUUUCUUCGGACUACCUACAAGGUGCUGCAUGGUUGUCGUCAGCUCGUGCCGUGAGGUGUCAGGUUAAGUCCUAUAACGAGCGCAACCCCUGUCGUUAGUUACCAGCAAUUAAAGUUGGGUACUCUAGCGAGACUGCCGGUGCAAACCGUGAGGAAGGUGGGGAUGACGUCAAAUCAUCACGGCCCUUACGUCCUGGGCUACACACGUGCUACAAUGGCCGGUACAGAGAGCAGCCACUACGCGAGUAGGAGCGAAUCUUCAAAGCCGGUCUCAGUUCGGAUCGCAGUCUGCAACUCGCCUACGUGAAGGAGGAAUCGCUAG
rnacentral:rRNA from 1 species